UCUUCUUGAAAAUAUAAGAGGUAAUACCUGCCCUAUGCUUUUGUAAAUGGCUGCAGUAUACUUAACUGUGCUAAGGUAGCAUAAUUACUUGUCAUUUUAUUAAUGUCUUGUUUGAAAGGUUUUAUGAGGGAAUAUUUUUUUUUUUGUAUUGAUUGAAUUUUUAAUUUAAGUAAAAAUACUUAGGUUAAAAAAAAAGACGAGAAGACCCUAAGAGCUUAAAAAGAUUUUUUUUGAAUGGGGUAUUAAAGAAUAAAAUAUUCUUUUUUAGUACUUUUUUAGUUAAAAAGUAAAGUUACCUUAGGGAUAACAGAGUAAUCUUUUUUGAGAGUUCUUAUUGAGAAAAGGGUUUGCUACCUCGAUGUUGAAUCAAAAUUUCUAUUUGGUUGUAGGGGCUAUUAUAGUAUGUCUGUUCGACAUUUAAAAUUUUACGUGAUU
rnacentral:rRNA from 1 species